rnacentral:lncRNA from 1 species
GGGAUGUAGCUCAGUGGUAAAUUGCCUCUGGGUUAUAUCCCCAGUAGCCCCCUCCAAAAUAAAUAAAUAAAUAAAGAGGUCUGGGAGGAGGCGAGUAGACAUAUAAAGUUGGAACCUGUCAGUACAGAGCAGGUGACUGAGGCCAUGGGGAGAAUGAGGCUACCUGGGUAGGUCCUGCAUAGGAGGAAGGACUCUGGAAAAGAAAGGAAAAUCUGGACCCAGAGGAAGACCAAAGGAGAAAGCAGAGACACAGAAAACGGAGCCCAGAAGACAGGCGGGAAAGGAACAGCCAGAAAAACAGGGUGAACUAGGAAUGUAGGGCUGGGGCUGGCUGAGCAUCUGCCUAGCCCGCACAAGGCCCUGGGUUCAUCCCCAACACCACAAAUACUACUACUACUGCUACUACUAGUAAUAAUAAUAAUGGUGAUUUGAAAACAAUAGCAAAGGUGAAUAAAUUUUGUGAAAAUUAUAGAAAAAGGGUCAAGAGUUUAAAAAGCCACUGAACAUUCAUACCCAGAAAGAAAUGAAUGCUGCCCAUCGGACUCAACGACACAGACGCUGUUUAUGACCGUAGCGAGAGCGGCUUCCGGGCUGCUGAACAAAGUCGACUGCCUUGGGUCAGGGAGUGAAUAAAAGGCAUACAGAUAUGUCUCCCCCUCCACAGUCCCUUCUAGGGCAGGCUGCCCUGUUCCUGAUCCCAUGGUCAUAAACAGCCACAGUGUGUGGGCAUGGACCCCAUGGUCAUGAGGCCAGUGACCGACUUGUCUCCUCCCUGGAAGAAGUUACUGGGCUAAUUGGGUUCCAUCUCUCUUGGGCAUCUGUCUGCUGAGUUGGGCUCAAGUCCUGAGGUGGACUGGAGCUGGACUGAUUAUUAUGGGAUGUACUAGAUGACUAAGUAGAGAGAGACCAUCAGAGAAAAGCAGAGAAAGAGACAAUGGAGAGGAGGCCUGGGGAGAGGAGAGGAGAGGCGAUGAGCCUCUGAUCUUGAUGGGAGGGAGGAGCUCCCUGGAAGUUUCCAUGAGGACAACCAUUCUUCAUCCUCUUGUUGAGAUUUGCACAGGACUGCAAGUGCCUCCUUCCAAGAAACAGCUCCCCUGAGCCAGCCCAGUGGGUCUCCAUGCCAAAGAAACUCAAGCAGAACAGGAAGGAGGAAGUAGAGGCAGUGGGUGUGGACAGCUCCGUCAAGCAGUUAGUUUUUCUUUCUUUCUUUUUCUUUUUUUUAUUUAUGCAGUUUGGUUUCUAGAGAGAAGAGAGAAAUGGGGCAGCAACCAUGGACUGAUAAGAGCCACUUAAAGAGAUUGUAAUGCUGCCAGAGAUAAAUCAAGAGAGAGGGAGGAGAUGGACCCAAGAGAGAUGGACAACUGAUAAUCCGGGCACUCAGAAGAGGUGGCUGACGCAUUGUCCUCAAAUAUCGACCCCAGUGCAUUGGGGUCUCGCUAGCAGAGUGGGUCUCCUCUCGGCUGCCUCUUCUGUUGGUACUUCCCUGGUCAGACAGGAGCCGCACUGACUCCUGCUCUGUCUUAAUUGAGCAUGUCUCUCUAAUUAGGCUGACAGCAGUUGGUUUCAGUGCAUGAUAAAUCAUGUCAGAUGCCUUUCGGACUUGCAAAGUCACUUCCAGGAGGCAUUUCACCCCUGGAUGUGACGUACAGCUUCAAAGAUGGAACUGGCUAUGUUCUGUCUACUUCUAGUUGUAUUCUUUUGGUAUCUGUGCUCUAUGAUACAGUUCACUUCAAAAUGACAACCUCUGGUUUAACAAAUGCAUUUGGGGAACAAAUGGCAAUUUUCAUGUGUGAACAUGAUAGUAAACAAGGAAUGAAGGAUUGAUGUUAGAAAAUUUGCAACUUUAUUUAUUCUGAUUCCAAAGGAAACCCAUAGUAUCAAUCAGCUUUUCACUGAUGUGGCCAAAAUACACUGAGAACAACUUAGAGAAGAAAAAUGUUAUUUAGGCUCAUGGUUUCAGAGGUUCAGUCCAUGAUCAGAUGGCUCCAUGGCCCAGGAUGAGUCAGAACAUCACGGCAGAAAGGAGUGACAGAGGAAAUCUGCUCGACUCAUGGCAGCUAGGAAACUGAGCCAGGAGCCAGAGACAAAAACAUAACUCCUGGUCCUACUUCCUCCAGCCACGCUUCACCUGCCUAUAGCUACCGCCCAGUAAUCUACUCAAAUUAUUAAUCCAUCAAAUGGAUUAACCCACUGAUUAGGUUUUAGCUCUCAUAAUAUAAUCACUUUACCUCAGAACUUUCCUCCAUUUCCAUGUGAGCUUUUUGUGAGACAUCUCAUAUCCAACCAUAAAACCAACAGUUUCCCUUCAAAGUAUAUCAAAAAGUAGAAAUUUCAAAGUCAGUGCCAGGCUUGGUGGUACAUUCCUAUAAUCCCAGCAACUUGGAAAACCUAAGGACCUCAUUCAACUCCACUGAAACCUAAGAAAGAGGAAUUGUAAGUUCAAGACCAGCCUCAACAACUUAGAUCCUUAGCACUUAGUGAGAUACUGUCUCAAAAUAAAACAUGAGAAAGCUCUGGGACUAUAGCUCAGUGAUAAAGCAUCCUGGGUUCAAUCCCAAGUAUAAGGAAAAAAGAAAAAGAAAAUAAGAAAAAAGAAUUUCAAAGUCCAAGUUUCUGUAUUUCAUUUCCAGAGGGAAAAUCUGUUUAUAAUUUGAUGUAUUUCUCAGACCUGAGUAUUCACAUAUGACAUACACAGAUGGACCCAUGUGACGUCUACAUACAUAUGAACAUAAAUCCUGUUAAGUCCUCUCUAAAGUAUGUUUCUCAUUUAACAAUACUUAAAAUGGAAUAUGACCUGAUAUAAAGUAUAUGUGCAUAGAAAAAAGAACAAAGGGAAAAUUAUAUAGUAUUAACCAUAAUCCUGGGGUGUUAAUAUUAUAGAAGAAUUUUUUUUUUCAGCUGGGUGUGGUGGCGCACGCCUGUAAUCCCAGCAGCUCUGGAGGCUGAGACAGGAGCAUCUCGAAUUCAAAACCAGCCUCAGCAAAAGCAAGAUGCUAAGCAACUCAGUGAGACCCUAUCUCUAAGUAAAAUACAAAACAGGGCUGAGGAUGUGGCUCAGUGGUUGAGUGCCCCGGAGUUCAAUCCCCAGGACCAAAAAAUAAAAAAGAAUUUUUUUCUUUACAUGUUUUCUUGCCGCCUUGAUUUUCUGCAAUGGAACUAUAUAUAUUACUUUGGGGUUUUGGUGGUUUUUUUGUUUGUUUUGGGAUUGAACCCAGAGGUGCUUUACCACUGAGCUACAGCCCAAGCUUAUUUAUUUAUUUAUUGAGUUAGGGUCUUGCUAAGUUGCUGAGAUUGGCCUUGAAUUUGCAAUGUUCAUGUCUCAGCUUCCUGAGUCGCUGGGAUAACAGGUAUGAGUAUAUUACUGGCAAGUAUAUUACUUUUAAAAUAUAUAUUUAAAAUAUACAUUAAAAUAUACAUCUUAAAAUAUACAUAUAUUGUACAUAAAUAUAUAUGCAUAAUCUGUUUAAUCAUGUGUACAUGUAUACAUGCAUAUGUAUAAUAUAUCUAUGCAUAUAUGUACCUGUACAUACUUGAAAAAGAGAGACAAAACCUGAGCUACACUGGCGAGUUUCUCAUUUGAACCAUUGUUUCUGUUCUGUUAACGUUGAUGUCACUAUAGAAUUCCAUCAAGAUCUGCGGUGAAGUGCGGGCCCCAGGCCUCAGAAACCAAGCCUCCUCUCCAUGUUGCUGCACAGGGCUGGUGACCUCAUUCACACUCCAUUGACACACACCAUCUUGCAAGAAGAGUCCCCACAGCAGGUGGCAGUGAUUCAAGGUGGUGGUGGUGGGGGUUGUGUCACAGACUCAAGUGACCCUGCUAAAUAAACCAAGGAUUAACACUUGUGAGUCAGAAAGAGAAGGAAUGUGAGUCAGCAGUGUAUUGAUUCAGAUGAUCACAGUUAACCAAAGCUCGACAUGAAACAAAUUUUAAAACACAUUGGUCCACACACUGAAAAGUCCAAGGCGGGGUAUCUGUGAUGGUUCGGGAAUGGUUUGGGUUCCAAAGGCUGACGCGCUGGAAGCUUGGUCCCCAGUGUGGCAACAUUGAGAGAUGGUGGAACCACACUCAGAAGUGCGGCCCACUGCAAGGUAUUCAGGUCAUGGGGCACAGCCCUCGAUCUCAGAAGAGAUUAAUACUGGUCUUGCACAGUGAGUUAGCUAUCAUGGGUUGUUAUAAAGUGAGACCAGGGGCUGGGGAUGUGGCUCAAGUGGUAGCGCGCUCUCCUGGCAUGCAGGCGGCCCAGGUUCGAUCCUCAGCACCACAUAUGAACAAAGAUGUUGUGUCUGCUGAAAACUAAAAAAUAAAUAUUAAAAU